UGGAUACAGUACAGCUACACUGGCGCCGACAUUUUGAAAAUUUGAGAAAACAAAAACAUUCUCCAACGAGUUCUUCAGCUCGGGGAAUGAGAGAAUAGAUUCACCUUUGUGUCGCUUUUCAGAUCGUAUUUUAAUUCCUUUCCGAAUAUGGACGGCACUCCAGUACAGCAUGUGCAUGGUUGGACCUGUUGACAUUUUUAGAAACGCAUCUUGGCAUUAUACAGAGUAUUGUUGUACUGCUCCAAAGUGCUUGUUGACAGACUGAAACCACUUGCUUGCAGCUCUUAAGGUUUACUUCUUGAGAGCCGUCAGCUACAAAAUGGAAGGUCAACAAAUCCAGUAUACUUGAAAAGCAAGAAAGAAACACCAGAAAAUAUGAAAAGACAGAAGAACAAGAGAACUUGAAUAAAAAAAAAAACUUUUAAGGAUAGGAAUUCAGGAUUUACUUGGAAACUAAAUUUAUUUUGAGAACAGCAGUGAUUGACGAAGCUCUGUUACUUAAAGAGAUAAUGUAUUAUCACAUUGGUUUUGUUAUUGUCGAGCCCGCUUGUGGAAGCAAAGACAUAGUUGUCCAAAUGUCUGUUCGGUGAAUGUGCAUGUGUGCGUCUGUCCGGAUUUGUUUGUCCAGACCAUAACUUGGACAUGCAUGGAGCAAUCUUGUUUAUAUUUGGUAUAAUGUUAACCUCAGUGAGACGGAGUGUCAUGCACAAACCCCAGGUUCCUAUCUCAAAGGCCAAGGUCACACUUACAGGUCAAAGGUCAAAUCCAAAAAUGAUUGUCCGGAGCAUUUCUUCUUCAUGCAUGGAGGGAUUUUGAUGUAACUUGGCACAAUUGUUCAUCAUCAUGCGACAGUGUCUUGCAUAAGAUCCUAGAGUUACUUCCCUUUGUUACUAUAAAUAGCUUACAUUUGUAACUUUUUUAUUACUGGUCAUAGGGAAAAAUCAAGACCACUUUUCUGUAGUACAACAUGCAUGUUACAUCCAAUUUUCAGGUGUAUUUUGACCUAUCUCUGCUGGUGCGGAUUUUUGUGUGGACUUAGAAUUUUUUUAUAUAUUUUUUUUAUGCCCCCGAAGGUAGGCUUAUAGUUUUUGAACCGUCUGUCGGUCUGUUCGCAAUUUUCGUGUCUGGUCCAUAUCUUUGUCAUUGAUGGAUGGAUUUUCAAAUAACUUGGCAUGAAUGUGUACCACAGUAAGACGACAUGUCGCGCGCAAGACUCAGGUCCGUAGCUCAAAGGUCAAGGUCACACUUAGACGUUAAAGGAUAGUGCAUUGAUAGGCUUGUCAGGUCCAUAUCUUUGUCAUCGAUGGAUGGAUUUUCAAAUAACUUGGCAUGAAUGUGUACCACAGUAAGACGACAUGUCACGCGCAAGUCCCAGGUCCGUAGCUCAAAGGUCAAGGUCACACUUAGACGUUAAAGGAUAGUGCAUUGAUGGGCAUGUCCGGUCCAUAUCUUUGUCAUCGAUGGAUGGAUUUUCAAAUAACUUGGCAUGAAUGUGUACCACAGUAAGACGACAUGUCGCACACAAGACCCAGGUCCGUAGAUCAAAGAUCAAGGUCACACUUAGACGUUAAAGGAUAGUGCAUUGAUGGGCGUGUCCGGUCCAUAUCUUUGUCAUCGAUGGAUGGAUUUUCAAAUAACUUGGCAUGAAUGUGUACCACAGUAAGACGACGUGUCGCACGCAAAACCCAUGUCCGUAGCUCAAAGGUCAAGGUCACACUUAGACAUUAAAGGAUAGUGCAUUGAUGAGCGUGUCCGGUCCAUAUCUUUGUCAUCCAUGGUUGGAUUUUCAAAUAACUUGGCAUGAAUGUGUACUACAGUAAGACGACAUGUCAGGCACAAGACCCAGGUCCGUAGCUCAAAGGUCAAGGUCACACUUAGACGUUAAAGGUCAUUUUUCAUGAUAGUGCAUUGAUGGGCAUUUCCGGUCCAUAUCUUUGUCAUUCAUGCAUGGAUUUUAAAAUAACUACGCAUGAAUGUGUGACACAGUAAGACGACAUGUCGUGCGCAAGACCCAGCUCCGUAGGUCAAAGGUCCUUAACUCUGACAUCAUUCAAAGUGCCAUCAGGGGCAUGUGUCAUCCUAUGGAGACAGCUCUUGUUUUUAAUUAUUUUUUUUUAAAUUUACGUUCCUUUGUUGUUACUGUAAAUAACUUAUAUUGUAACUUUUUGCAAUCUUUUUUUUAUUUGGCAUAAAUGUUUGCCUCAAUGAGACAAGGAGUGUCAUGUACAACUCCCAGUCCUUUUGACAGCUGGCGGGCUCGACAUAUUGCCCAUGGGCAUAUAGUUCUCAUAAAACAUACUAAAGUUUCAUUAAUCUUAUUUUAGAUAAUUGUUUUCUGGUUUAUUUUGUAAAGAAUGUCUACUACAUUUUAAUUAACAUAGUUACAGUAAAGUAAUAUUUUUCAUGAGAUUUUAAAGAGAAUGUUCUGUUAUACCCCCAUGUAGUAAGCUUGUCUGUCUUUCAGUCAGUAGGUUUUCAUGGCUUCCAGAUGAUAACUCCUGAAAAGCUUGACCGAUUUAAAUAUUUUUUGGUACAUAGGUACAGGUCAAGACAACUUUGGGGUCAGUAGGUCAAAGGUCAAGAUAACUUGCCAAUGCUUUGGCCUGGGAUCAUAGCUUUUGUAACACAGGUGUAACAUGAUAAAAUACAGGUUGUUCAAAUUUGAGGUCAAUAGAUCAAAGGUCAAGGUCACAGUGACCUCGAACAGUUGAACCGUUUCCGAAUGAGACCUUGAGCCUAUGAUGAUUAAGUUUGGUACACAGGUGUUACAUCAUGAAAUACAGGUCAAGUUUUACUUUGAGGUCAGUAGGUCAAGGUCACAAUAAGGCAAAACAGUGAAAUGUUUUUCAGAUUAUAACUUGAGAAUGCUUGAGCCUAGGAUCAUGAAAAUUGUUAGGGAGGUUGAUUAUGAUCAGCAGGUGACCCCUAAUGAUGUUGAGGUCAGUAGGUCACAGGUAAAGGUCACACUGACCCGGUUCUUUAAAAUAAUGCAUGGAGGGGCACCUGGGGUCUUCCUCCACCAUUAAAACUGGAAAGUCGCCAUAUGACUUAUCCUGUGUCUGUGUGAUGUUAAAUUCAACAAAAUAACGGUUCUUUAAAACGUUUUUUAUAUGCCCGAAGGAGCGUGUUAUGUUUAUGACGCUGGUGUCUGUCUGUCCGUUAGCAAUUUCGUGUCCGCUCUGUAACUCUUGAACCCCUUGAAGGAUUUCAAGGAAACUUUACACAAAUGUUCACCACACCGAGACGAUGUGCAGAGCGCAUGUUUUGGAUGUCUCGCUUCAAGGUCAAGGUCACACUUAGGGGUCAAAGGUCAUAUCAGUUUGUUUCGUGUCCGCUCUGUAAUUCUUGAACCCCUUGAAGGAUUUCAAAGAAACUUGACACAAACGUUCACCACACCAAGACGACGUGCAGAGCGCAUGUUCCGGAUGACUUGCUUCAAGGUCAAGGUCACACUUAGGGGUCAAAAGUCAUAUCAGUUUGUUUCGUGUCUGCUCUGUAACUCUUGAACUGCUGGAAGGAUUUCAAAGAAACUUGGCAGAAAUGUUCAUCACAUUGUAACGAUGUGCAGAGCGCAUGUUCCGGAUGACUCGCUUCAAGGUCAAGGUCACACUUAAGGGUCAAAGGUCAUAUAUGACUUUGCUUUGUGUAUAUUGCUCUGCAUUGCAGUGCUCUUGUUUUUAUUUGGCAGAUCUCUUUUUUUGUACUUACAAUAAUUUUUUUUUUUUUUUUUUAAUUACUUCCCUUUUAUGUUACUAUAAAUAGCAUAUUUUGAAACUUUUUUAUUAUUGGCCGUAGGGAAAAACCGAGACCACUUUUCUGUGGUACAACAUGGAUGGUACCUCCAAUUUUAAGGUGUAUUUUUACAUACCUAUAUCUGAUAAGGAAUUUUUUGUAGACUUUGAAUAUUUUUUUUGUGGACUUAGAUUUGUUUUUUGAAGUUUUCCUUUUGUUGUUCUAGUCCUUUGGGGCUACAACAGUCAAGUUCUUAAAAUUUUGCUCCCAUCCUAUAAUGUAAGCCUUCGGGCGUAUAUUGCUCCGCUUGGCGGCGCUCUCGUUGGACAGUAACUUCAGGAUGCUUGGGAUGAGAAACACAAAAUUUAGUACAAGGUUGGUCUUGACCAGCAGAUUACCUGUAUUGAUUUAGAGUUCCAAAGAUCAGAAUGACCGGGAACAUUUAAACCUUUUCCAUGCAACAAGGUGAGCUUUUGUGAUCGCUCUGUGUCCGAUGUCCGUUCAUGAGUCCGUCAUCAACAAUUUGACUGUUAACACAGGUCACAAUUUUGACUAAUCUUUAUGAAACUUGGUCAGAAUGUUAACCUCAAUAAAACCUUGGACACAUUUGAUAUUGGGUCAUCUGGGAUCAAAAACUAGGUCACCAAGUCAAAUCAAAGGAAAAGCUUGUUAACACUGUAGAGGUCACAUUUAAGACUAUAUCUUCAUGAAACUUGGUCAGAAUUGUCAUCUUGAUGAUCUCAAGGUCCAGUCUGAAUCUGGGUUAUGUAGGAUCAAAACAAGGUCACUAGGUCAAAUCAAAGGAAAAGCUAGUUUACACUCUAGAAGCCACAUUUAUGACCAUAUCUUAAUGAAACUUGGUCAAAAUGUUCAUCUUAAUGAUCCAUAGAUCAGAUUCAAAUCUGGCUUAAGUGGGGUCAAAAACUAGGUCACCAGGUUAGAUCAAGGGAAAAGCUUGUUAACACUCUAGAGGUCACAAUUUUGGCCCAAUCAUAAUGAAACUUGGUCAGAAUGUUACCCUCAAUAAAAUAUUGGACGAGUUUGAUAUUGGGUCAUCUAGGGUCAAAAACUAGGUCACCAGGUCAAAUCAAAGGAAAAGCUUGUUAACACUAGAGGCCACAUUUAUGACCAUAUCUUAAUGAAACUUGGUCAGAAUUUUAAUCUUGAUGAUCUAUAGGACAAGUUAAUUAAAUCUGGGUCAGGUGGGAUUAAAAACUAGGUCACUAGGUCAAAUCAAAGGAAAAGCUUGUUAACACUCUAGAGGCCACAUUUAUGACUUCAUCUUCAUGAAACUUAAUCAGACUGUUAAUCUUGAUGAUCUUUAAGUCAAGUUUGAGUCUGGGUCAUGUGGGGUCAAAAACUAGGUCACCAAGUCAAAUCAAAGGAAAAGCUAGUUAACUCUUUAGAGGCUACAUUUAUGAUCAUAUCUUAAUGUAACUUGGUCAGAAUGUUAUCUUGAUGAUCUUUAGGUCAAUAUGUCAGGUGAGCGAUACAGGGCCAUCAUGGUCCUCUUGUUUAUUUGUUCUUGUUUUAAGAGAAAUUGUACAUUUUAGAAUACAGAUUACAGCAAGUCACAUUUUCUUUGUUUUGACAAUACUUAUUUCAAAGCCUGACAAAAGCAUCCAGUACUGUUAUUAAAAGUUGUUAUUCACAGUUGAGCUCUAUUUCUUGUAUGGAUAAAACAAAUUGUGUGAUCUGUGAUUAUUAUAAAUGUGUAUACAGAUAAACCUUAAACAUGUGAACAGUUUAUUCAAUAAAUAAAGUGUAAUGCAAGUCUUUGUAAUGUGUAUAUAAAAGCAAAAUUAGGAUUUGUUUUACGAGUAAUUUCAGAAUUACAAUUAACACAAAUAGAAAAAAUCAAGCCUGCACAAGAAGGCUAAUAUGUCUCCCUAGACUGAGCUCUUAACCUGCCGUGGUGCAAAUAGAUUGUUGAUGUGUGUCUGUCUUGUUAACAGUGAGUUGCAAUCUAGUAACUUUUCAGUUUGUAUGAUUUUUAGCUCGACAAUACGAAGUAUAAGGAGAGCUAUCCUACUCGCCCCAGCGUCGGCGUCUUUCCGCGUCCCCACCUUGGUGAGUUUUGGUGCACUUCCUCUUUUUUCAUCUUAUCUCUGUAAUUACUUGAUGGAUUUGAUUCAAACUUGAAAUACUUAUUCCUCAUCAUCAUCCACAUCAUCUGACAUAAGGGCCAUAACUCUGGCACCAAUAUUUCAUGAAUUAUCCCCCCUUUUCACUUAGAUUUUCAGGUUAAAGUUUUGAUGCACUUUAACUCUAUCUCUGUUAUUAUUGAAUGGAUUUGAUUCAAACUUAAAAUAGUUGUUCAACAUCAUCACCCACAUCAUAUGACACAAGGUGCAUAACUCUGGUACCAUUUUUUCAUGAAUAUUCCCCCUUUUUACUUAGAAUUUCAGGUUAAAGUUUUGGUGCACUUUCACUCUACCUCUGUUAUUACUGAAUGGAUUUGAUUCAAACUUAAAAUAAUUGUUCAGCAUCAUCACCCACAUCAUAUGACACAAGAUGCAUAACUCUGGCACAAUUUUUCAUGAAUUAUUCCCCUUUUUACUUAGAAUUUCAGGUUAAAGUUUUAUGCACUUUCACUCUGUCUCUGUUAUUACUGAAUGGAUCUGAUUCAAACUUAAACAAUUGUUCAACAUCAUUACCCUUAUCAUAUGACACAAGGUGCAUAUUUCUGGGACCAAUUUUUCAUGAAUUAUUUCCCCUUUUUACUUAGAAUUUUAGGUUAAAGUUUUGAUGCACUUUCACUCUGUCUCUGUUGUUACUGAAUGGAUUUGAUUCAAACUUAAAAUAGUUGUUCAACAUCAUCACCCACACCGUAUGACGCAAGGUGCAUAACUCUGGCACCAAUUUUUCAUUAAUUAUUCCCCCUUUUUACUUAGAAUUUUAGGUUAAAGUUUUGAUGCACUUUCACUCUGUCUCUGUUAUUACUGAAUGGAUUUGAUUCAAACUUAAAAUAGUUGUUCAACAUCAUCACCUACACUAUAUGACACAAGCUACAUAACUCUGGUACCAAUAUUUAAUGAAUUAUGCCCCUUUUUGCUUAGGAUAUACUUAUAUAGUGUUUUGAUACAUUUUAUCUUUACCUCUCUUAUUACUUUAAGUUGAUAUUUUUGACAUAGACACGCUAUUGUGCAGUAUCUUCAUCCAUAAUUGGAGUCAUUAAACACUCCAGUGACAGCUCUAGUUUCCUCAGAUAUGCCCAGUUUCACUAUCCAGCAUCGAAAUAGUCGAGCGCGCUGUCUACUGUGACAGCUCUUGUUAGCUUACCUGAGCACGGUAUGAGCUGAUGUGAUCACCUUAAGUAUGUCAUUGUGCUUCUCAACAAUUUGCCUGUUAACACCCUAACUAGAGUAGACAGUUUUUUUUAAAUGUUAAAGGGAUGAGUUGAAGUCUGAUCGAUUCCCGAUUGAGGCAGUGCCUUAUUUCAUAUUAGAAUCUAGUUGAAAAAAAACUAUUAGGCUAUCUAAACAAACUUCCUGUGAUAUGUAUAAAUCAGAAUAACAGCAUUAAUCUUUUUUUUUUAAUUUCUACUACAUACACACUGAUGUAAUCUGUUCAGAAUAGUUUGACUAUAAUACGAAUAGCAUAUUAGAUCUAAGACACGUGAGAAAUAAAGCAAUAUGUCUAUGGUACCUACAUGUAAGAAUGUCAAUAAGCGGAUACAUGAAUGAAAUUAAAGUUUAUACAACUAGAUAAAACUAUGAAAGAAGAAAUACAUAAAAUGGUGAAUCUACGGACAGAUUAGAUUCUGUUAUUAUAUGUCUUGUAAUCAAUGCUACUGAUCAAUGUAAUAAUUACUCGUUCUACUUAGUUUAACUGUUUAUAUACAUGUAUAUAGAAAUGCCACUGUAUUUUGUCUAGCAGAAUACUUGUAACAAUUAUUGCCACUGUAUAACUUAGAUGGAAAACACAUAUUAUAGCUCCGUUUGUAUUAUAAUUACCACUGUAUUUUUGUGUCGCAAAACACUAAUUAAAAUGAUUUAUUUUGUGACAAUAGGCCCGCUAUGUUGCUUUAUCCUGGAAACGCCUCAAGUAAGGACAACAAGGUAUGGCAAAAAUUCAUUCCGCUUUGACGCUGCCCGGGUGUGGAACAGUCUGCCAAAUGACUUACGUACAAUCGAUCAGUACAAAGAUUUUUCCCGACUGAUCAGCACCUGGACAGGUCCAAAAUGUAAAUGUGCCAUGUGUGAAUAGCAUAACACCGCUUCAUCUGUUGUCCUGCUUUGCAUGUGCUUGUUUUUUUCUUUCUUUAAAGAUUUAGUUUACUGUGUAUAAUUUUGUUGCAAUGUUCUUUCGCAUUUGUUUUUAUCGUUGCUUUUAUGUACAUGCCUACUUAAAGACUGCUUCCCUGUUGCCAGUCACUGAUGCCCUUUGUGCUUUUUUCUUUUUGCCAUAGAGAA